UACGUAGGGGGCAAGCGUUGUCCGGAAUCAUUGGGCGUAAAGCGCGUGUAGGCGGCCAGAUAAGUCCGCUGUGAAAUCUCGAGGCUCAACUUCGAGCUGUCGGUGGAAACUGUCUGGCUAGAGUCCGGAAGAGGAGAAUGGAAUUCCUGGUGUAGCGGUGAAAUGCGCAGAUAUCAGGAAGAACACCGGUGGCGAAGGCGGCCCACUGGCUCGACACUGACGCUGAGGUGCGAAAGCGUGGGGAGCAAACAGG
rnacentral:rRNA from 1 species